UACGUAGGGGGCAAGCGUUAUCCGGAUUCAUCGGGCGUAAGGAGCGCGUAGGCGGCUUGGUAAGUCAGGUGUGAAAACCGGGGGCUCAACCCGCGGCCGGCACCUGAAACUGUCAGGCUUGAGUCUGGUAGAGGAAAGUGGAAUUCCCAGUGUAGCGGUGAAAUGCGCAGAUAUUGGGAGGAACACCAGUGGCGAAGGCGGCUUUCUGGGCCACGACUGACGCUGAGGCGCGAAAGCUAGGGGAG
rnacentral:rRNA from 1 species